rnacentral:rRNA from 1 species
UACGAAGGGGGCUAGCGUUGUUCGGAUUUACUGGGCGUAAAGCGCACGUAGGCGGAUCGAUCAGUCAGGGGUGAAAUCCCAGAGCUCAACUCUGGAACUGCCUUUGAUACUGUCGAUCUGGAGUAUGGAAGAGGUGAGUGGAAUUCCGAGUGUAGAGGUGAAAUUCGUAGAUAUUCGGCGGAACACCAGUGGCGAAGGCGACUCACUGGCCCGAUACUGACGCUGAGGCGCGAAAGCGUGGGGAGCAAACAGG